CCAGAACUGGGCUUGACCUGAUUGUUCCCUGGGCAGCAGCUGGAGCAGUGAACCGCUGGACUGUUAUUCUCGGGCACGUUGCUUCCUGAAUUAAAGCAGUAAUGAUAAGAAAGAGAGUCUCCAGCAAAAGGAAGAUCAAUGGCUAACGGCUCGUACUGCUCUUGAAAAAGACCCAGAGCUCAGUUCCCAGCACCACAGCUAACAACUACCUGGAACUCAACGCAAAGUGAGUCUUUGUGUUGUGAUGUCUCCAGCCUCUGAGGACUCCUGCACCCACAGGCAC
rnacentral:lncRNA from 1 species